GCCCGGAUGGUGGAAUUGGUAGACACGCAGGACUUAAAAUCCUGUGCUGGUUAAACAGCGUGCGGGUUCAACUCCCGCUCCGGGUACAA
rnacentral:tRNA from 1 species